rnacentral:rRNA from 1 species
GAUGAACGCUGGCGGCGUACCUAAUACAUGCAAGUCGAGCGAACAGACGAGGAGCUUGCUCCUCUGACGUUAGCGGCGGACGGGUGAGUAACACGUGGAUAACCUACCUAUAAGACUGGGAUAACUUCGGGAAACCGGAGCUAAUACCGGAUAAUAUAUUGAACCGCAUGGUUCAAUAGUGAAAGACGGUUUUGCUGUCACUUAUAGAUGGAUCCGCGCCGCAUUAGCUAGUUGGUAAGGUAACGGCUUACCAAGGCGACGAUGCGUAGCCGACCUGAGAGGGUGAUCGGCCACACGGGAACUGAGACACGGUCCAGACUCCUACGGGAGGCAGCAGUAGGGAAUCUUCCGCAAUGGGCGAAAGCCUGACGGAGCAACGCCGCGUGAGUGAUGAAGGUCUUCGGAUCGUAAAACUCUGUUAUUAGGGAAGAACAAAUGUGUAAGUAACUAUGCACGUCCUGACGGUACCUAAUCAGAAAGCCACGGCUAACUACGUG